GGGGCCCCGGCUUCCAGGGGGCCCCCACUUGGGCAUCCUCCCAAGUGACUUGGUGCCCCAAGUGCUAAUAAAUGUACUGCACGGCAACGACAACAACGGGUAUUUACUAUGAAAAAGUGACGUAGCAAACUGCCUUGGGGGCCCCCAUGCCCCUUCUGCCUUCAUGGGAUGGGGUGGGGGCCACACAAAUUUCUUGCGUGGAGCCCCAAAGGACCCUUGCCCUGCCUCUGCUCAUUCCUAUGCACUGGUGGAUUUAAAGAGUCCAGUUCACAACAUCAGGUCAGUAGCGCCACCUAGUGGUCAGCUACAACACUGAGUGUAACUGUUGGUGAGGACCUGGAUGGUGAGUGUUGCUCAGGUAGUGUCAGUAGAAGAUCAGUGCAGCAGUUCUCCCUCAACUCCCUUAAAUCCUAACCUACAGCAGAAUACAGUUGAGUAGGGAGAUGGUAUAUAUGAGCUUGUGGAUAUAUAUGUGUGUCUGAAAUAAACUAUAGGAAAAAUCAGAUACACUGCCUUCUAAUGAAUGAACUGCCAUCAAUCAUAGAUGCCAUGUCACUCUGUAAGCAUAUCACACACUAGCCAUACAACUCAAAUCAAACUCUACCCUAAUAAACUUAACACACAAUUAGGGGUGUGGGUGUAUUGCUGCUGUUUGUCAUUAGAUCUAGGCCUGCCUCAGCCUCACCUGGUUGUCUGUAGCUAGUCCGAGUGAAAGUUAUGGGGAGAUGGCAUCUCUUGUAUGCUUUUUUAUUAGGCUUUUAACACCCUAUAGAAAUCAGUGGCCAUGAGACAGACAACAAAUCUUGUUACUUCACACCAGUGUUUUGAGCAAUAACAGCAGGACCAAAUGUAUUUCCAUGAAGGCUUCUCAGUGUUGUAGGUUUCAAAAAAGUUAUGUAACUCUGAUCUUGCUGAUCAGCUUGCUCAGAGUAGGACAAGUUCUUUUGUCUCCUUUAAUUUCACCUCCUGAGACUAAAACAAACGCCAAAUUUUUGUUAUGUCAUUAAAAGUCCCCAAGUAGCUGUUAAGUAAACACAUCUGCCAGCAACAGUGCUUUGAAAUAAGAUUACCAUUGGCAACGUAUGAGUAAAAAGCUGCAGGUCAAGGUUAUGAUUUUCAAUGAAAACUUACAAGAAAUCCAAACAAACGUGUCAGAAACAUUUAUGUUGGCAAGAGUAUAAAUGAGGACCAUCAAGAACUGUCACGCCCUCUACUUCUAGGGCCAGAUAGGGGCAGCCUCUCUUUUCUCUUCUCCCUCUUUUCUCUUCUCCCCCCUCCCUCUUCUCCUCCUCUCCCUCUCUCUAAGCAGGUGUUGGUGUGAUGCAGCUUCAGGGCGGACAGGUGCAGCCACUUUCUAAUCAGCGGAUCGAUCCGUGUGGCGGGGAGAGGAGCGCUCUCAUUCAUUCACCCGCUGCCAUAAGAACCGGACGCUUCCCACAACCCGACGCUGGACCGUGACCUGAAGAUCCCUUGCCCACUCCGCCUGCUCUUCCCGCCUGCGUACCCAGCUCUCCUGCUCUUCAUCCCAGCUCCGUCCAGGACGCCGCCUCACGCCAUCACCACCUGCCUCUCCCCCUCCAGUCGGAAAUCACGGACUGCCUGCUCACUCGCUCUCUCGCUAGCUCUGGUAGUACCCGACCCUGUCUCGCGUUUUGCAGACAGCGCUUUUUGUUAAUUGUUCUGACCCUGUCUCGCGUUUUGCAGACAGCGUUUUUUGUUAAUUGUUCUGACCCUGUCUCGCGUUUUUGCAGACAGCGCUUUUUGUUAAUUAUUACUGUUCCAGUCUCGCGUUUUGCAGACAGCGCUUUUUGUUAAUUAUUACUGUUCCAGUCUCGCGUUUUUACAGACAGCGCUUUUUGUUAAUUAUUACUGAUCCUGUCUCGCGUUUUUCAGACAGCGCUUUUUGUUAAUUGUUACUGCCCACCUUAGUUCCGUUUUCCUAUUUCUGUUUGCAUUUUUGGGACCAAAUAAAUAUCUGUUUAAUUGAA
rnacentral:lncRNA from 1 species